rnacentral:rRNA from 1 species
GAUGAACGCUAGCGAUAGGCCUAACACAUGCAAGUCGAGGGGCAGCACAUGAAGUAGCAAUACAGAUGGUGGCGACCGGCGCACGGGUGAGUAACACGUAUGCAACCUACCUUCCACAGGAGAAUAACCCGUUGAAAAACGGACUAAUACUCCAUAAUACAGGGGUCCCGCAUGGGAAUAUUUGUUAAAGAUUUUUUUCGGUAGAAGAUGGGUAUGCGUUCCAUUAGCUAGUUGGUUGAGGUAACGGCUCACCAAGGCAACGAUGGAUAGGGGAACUGAGAGGUUUAUCCCCCACACUGGUACUGAGACACGGACCAGACUCCUACGGGAGGCAGCAGUGAGGAAUAUUGGUCAAUGGAGGCAACUCUGAACCAGCCACGUCGCGUGAAGGAUGACGGCCCUACGGGUUGUAAACUUCUUUUAUACAGGAAUAAAGUGAGUCACGUGUGACUUUUUGCACGUACUGUAUGAAUAAGGAUCGGCUNACUCCGUGCCGCAGCCGCGGUAAUACGGAGGA